rnacentral:tRNA from 1 species
GGAAUUUAGCUCAGUGGUAGAGCGCUUGCCUAGGAAGCGCAAGGUCCUGGGUUCGAUCCCCAGCUCCG